rnacentral:piRNA from 1 species
UAAAGGUAAAAGCUACGAUCUGUGGAGUAC